rnacentral:rRNA from 1 species
CACGUAGGAGGCGAGCGUUGUCCGGAAUCAUUGGGCGUAAAGAGCGUGUAGGCGGCUAGAUAGGUCCGUUGUGAAAACUCGAGGCUCAACCUCGAGACGUCGAUGGAAACCAUCUGGCUAGAGUCCGGAAGAGGAGAGUGGAAUUCCUGGUGUAGCGGUGAAAUGCGCAGAUAUCAGGAAGAACACCCGUGGCGAAGGCGGCUCUCUGGUACGUGACUGACGCUGAGACGCGAAAGCGUGGGGAGCAAACAGG